GCCGUAAAUAACGGGACGUGCACAGCCUCUCUCCGCCUUCACGGCUGCGUGAUCCGCGGCCGCCGGUUGCCGCUGGAAGUGGGAUCCGCGGUGCGCAAUUACGAGGCGCGCAGGACGCCGGUGCCACCCACGACAGGAGGGAAAAGCUGAAAGUUGCCUCACUGAGGAGGAAGAGCAGCGGGAUGAGGAGCGAUGGAGGCGUCAGUGAAACGCGACUCCUCCAGCAGGUCACCUGGAGAGAGAGAGAGAGAGAGAGAGAGAGAGAGGAGGAGGGGGAGCAGCUCACCUCCAGGAGACACCUGUUGAAUGGGAGCAGCUCAGACAUCUUGACCCCGAGAGGACAAACUAACUGUUGAAUUGUCUCCUCUACAAUAUGUCUCCUGUUAUUGUGCAGCUUCACAUGACAGCUGCAGGGAGAAGAGGAUGUUCUGCACAGACACUAAACAUGAAUGUGAAGAGGUUGCAUGAUUCAUCAUGUUUUAAAUCAUGAACUUCUCACAAAAUACUUCUUGCGUCAUCUGAAAUGCAACAAAUUGCUUGGUCUUUAUUUCAUUAUCGUCUAAUGCUUUUUAAAUACUGUUUGGCUCUUGGUCAUACAUGAUUUGUGACUCAUGCAUGUAACCAUUUUCACAUGCAAUUGAUGUGAACUGAUCUGAUUUGUAAAAUAAGAUAGAUAGUAUGAUUUUAAGACCUUUAAAACAACUAAUUUACAUGUACAA